CAGUUAAGAGGGCUAUCACAAAUUUUCGAGUUUUAUACGAGUUUUGAUGCGUCAUUAUGCUUUGGAUAUAGUCACAAAAAAAAAACAAAAAUAAGAUUAAGAAAGUUUGAUCAUUUAUCUUGGGGCUGUUUUCAAUAAAUAUUUUAAUUUGUCCACGUACAUCAGUAAAAUCUUUGUCUCUGCAAAGGAUGUUUCAUAAAAUGUUGCUUUUGGGGAUCUUUUGAUGCUUCAGUACUCCGAGGAUAUAGCAAUUUAACCAUUUAUAAAAAUGUUCAAGAUACAACUAUAUCUUGUACUUGUGCUUGCUUACACCAAUUUAUUACAAUUCAUACAGUAAUACACCAAAAAUAAUUCUAUAAAACUGAGAGUUACUGACAAUUUUCCGUACAAAACUAUAUUUUUUAUCUAUGAAAGUAUAAUCCAAAUUCAAAUAAAACAUAUUUAAUAAUUAAGGUGGUAUUGUUAUAAAGCUUGAAAAAAAAAAUUGGUCUAUUUAAAAGUAAAACAAUAUUUUAAAAUAAUUUUUGUUUGCAAUGCAAAAAUCAAUAUAAAUCUUGUGACGCGCGGUGUUCAACUUUAGUCAGCGCCAGGCGCUUAUCGAGGGAGGACGUAUCGCUCGCUGUUGCGCCGCGCAAACUCGCCGGAGCUCGAAAAAUAUAGCGCAACCUGCGCAACGAACUCGUUUUGAUACUAGAUAAUGAAAGCAUAUUUAAUUCAGAUUAUCAGACUCAAUCGGAUACCAGUACAAAUAAUAUGGAAAAUGAAGAUACAAUACAUGGAAGACGAAUUAUAGAUUUUAGUUUUUUUAUAAAUCAAUUACUUAUACCUAAUUGAUAAACAUGGUGAAGUUUGGUUGUCGAUUAAAUAAUUUAAAAAUUGUAAACGAUUAUUUGUUUAUUGUAACUCAAUCGAGCUAUUCUAGGUUAUAAAAUUCAUCGGUACAAAUAAUAUUUCAUAAACUAUAAAACCAAUAAACUAUUUCGAAAAUAAAAGUGGCAAAGUCUCAAGUUUGUUUGUGCCGCGUGGCGGUCCGCAGGUGUGCGUUGCGUAUUUCACUAGACGCACACGCGCGCAAGUGCUGCCGGCUAUCGUCUAAUUUACCUAAACCUGAGCGAUUCGAUUUUGUAAUAGCGCUCUUAAAUAAUAAAUAAAUUGCAAUAUUUCCAGGUGAGACCAGCGAGCGACAGACAACGACCGCACUGUUUAGAACUGUACGCGAGCGGCGGCGCUGAUCUCAUCAAGGCCUGCAAGACUGACUCCGAGGGGAAGGUCGUCGAGGGAAAACAUACUGUUUACAGAAUGUCGGCAGCUACGGCGGAGGAGCGCGACGAGUGGAUCGAGUGCCUGCGCCGCUCCAUCAGCCACAACCCCUUCUACGACAUGCUCGCGCAGCGCAAGAAGAAGGCGCAGCACAACCUGCACUCCGCGCACUGAGCACAGCAUACUCUCUGAACACAACUACAUCUUCGUCUGUCUACUGGUGUCGUGAUGUGCCAGUGAUACAAGCUCCCCGAAGAACAGUGUUCGCAAAACAAUCUAAGGUUACACGAGUAAUGAUCAACAAUAAGUGCAAUUUAACGACAUCAAACCACCUCAGUAAACGAGCCUUAAUUUUAAAUGUGGUUUUUACAACUUCUGCCCAAUAAUAGUAAACAUAAGUAAUGUUUGUUUUAGGGGUAUAGCCUAUUGAACGAAGUCGUUUUCUUCAACUCUUAUUAUUGACAUUAAUCAUAAUUUAUUGUAGAGAAUAUAGUAGAAUUUUUAUAAAUACAGUGUACCUAAAGAGUUAUAGAAUGUUAUAUGCAUAACGAGUGAUAAGUCAUGCAUCUGAUGUAACGUCUAAUCGACAUUGAUUGCGAAAUAAGUUUUAUUUAUCAUGUUAUUUUAACAAAUUCAUAAGUGAGCUUAACCCCGAGGUAACGUCCGUCAAGAGUCAGCUGGUGACUUGACAAUAGCCAUUAGUCAUAACUCCAAUGAAUAUGUGAUAUUUAGCCAUGAUAACGACGUACGGAAUGUAUUGUGUUGUACAUAUCGAAACACAAUAAUUGCGCAUCAUUUCAUGGCUGUUGGUCCAUGUAUAUAAACGAAGGAAAGACUGAAAAUUGUGCUUUUUAAACAUCGCCUAUUCGAAAUUGGAACUGUUAGUCGCGUGCGUAAUAAUUUACUUUUCAAAUUAUCACUGUAGACUUAAAAGAAUAAUAUAUUAGUGAGGAAGUCCGUAUCUCACGUCUCACAUCCAUACUGCAUCCGUACAUCGAUUAAAACUGCAAUGAAAUUAAAUACGGAAGUGAUGAAAUCGUCGGCUUAAGGAUGCAGCUUGCUAAACUCAUUCUUGAGUUCAUACCGUGAGAUUAGUUAUGAGCGCAUACUGCCAAAUUUUUAUAGUUUGCUAAAGUAAAUUGAUUUCAAACAUUGUUUAAAUGUUGGACAUCCGCAUCACAUCUCAGGAUUGACAAUAAGUUUGUUUAAUUGUAUCGGCAAAUACAUUGCUGGUUUAGCCUAAUAAACCGUGGCGGAAUUGUAUUCAAUGAAAAGUAUUACUUUGAUAAUAUUGUAAUGUAACAUAUUAUGUGAAGAUAAUGUAAAGUAAUACAUGUGUAAAUAGGUUAAUUAGCCUAACUUAGUGUGUGAAAGCCAUCGGUAUUACUACUUCUUAUGAGAAUGAGAAUGUAAAUAUGGCUGGAAAACAGAAAAUAAGGAAGGCACAACAACCAAUUUUUGAAAAACUAAUUUAUGGACAAAUAAUUUCAUGGAACUACAGCGAAUCGGUUUUAUUUAUGUUUUAGUCAAUAAAUGAAACAAAGGUUAUGCUUGUUAUCGACACAACUCAUCGUCAUUUCCGCCCAUAAACAUAGAUAUAAACAUUAGGUAUUUAGAGUAGCCUUUAUGUGGCCUAACAUCAUCAUGUCAUUAGUUUUAUUAGUAUUUCAGAAGUUGGCUGUUGCCGUAUAGUAUAAUUAAUUUAAAUUGGGCAACAAAAUUUUAGUUUACAUUCCUGCUCUUUAACCUAAAUAAUCUCAAAAGAAUGUGAGGAAUUAUCGUUCUCUUCGUAAGCAUUUUCAUGUUUUCUUAAACUGUCUCUAUCACUAAAUUCUUGUUCUGUAAAUAAUUUCAAGUAUUUUUUCCAAUGUAAUUCGAAUUCAAUAUUUCAUUUCAAUUAUUCUGAUAAUAUUUCUUUAAUGAUUUAAUAGAAUACAAUAUAUCGUGGUCUUGUGUCAAAAGAUCUCUUGUUAUCUGUAUACAUACGUAUGAUUAUAGUAGUAUACAUUUUAGAAACAGUAGAACAGCCACUCUGUAUUGUUAUUCUCAAAGUAAUCGGUCAGUAUAGCGCCUUGUACGACCAGUAAGAACAAUGUUCACAAGGUGCCAUAAUUUUUAUUUAAUUUUUAACGAGCUACGAUCACAGGUGUGGCUGUACUACUGACAAUAUUAAUCCCUAUUUAUGUGAAUAAUCGGUUUUUAGAAACAAUUUUAUUUUUAUUGUUCAUAAUUCAAAUGUCAUAAAACUCAAUUAUUUAAUAAUGAUAUUAGGGGAGGUAAAUAUUCUGUUUUGUAAUUAUUUUUUAUGGAAUGGUGCCUAGUAUUGAUCUGCAACUAGUUAAGCUUACUAUAGUAGUAUUAGUGUACCUACUUAUAAUGCGCUGUAAAUUCGCUUUUAGAAACGUUAAUUUAUCAAUGUAAUGUUUUAUAUGACAGCGGAUAUGUGCAUAAUAAUGGUGUUGUAAAUAAUUUUGUAAGAAAAUGGAUAUACAUAAAAUAUGUUUAUUUA